CCUAUUGAAGAUGAUGAUCCGAUAUCUCAUAUUAUUGGUGGUCUUAGUACUGCCUAUACUUCUUUCAUCACUUCCUUCUCAUUUGCAACAAGAGAUAUUUCUCUCUCGUUCAAUGAAUUUCAAUC
rfam:Populus trichocarpa scaffold_17_contig_363, whole genome shotgun sequence.